rnacentral:rRNA from 1 species
AUUGAACGCUGGCGGCAGGCCUAACACAUGCAAGUCGAGCGGAUGAACGGAGCUUGCUCCUGGAUUUCGAGGGGGAAGGGUGAGUAAUGCCUAGGAAUCUGCCGGGCAGUGGGGGAUAAUGUCUGGAAAAGGGUGCUACUACCACCUGCGUCCUGCGGGUGAUACUGGGGGGUCUUUGGACCUCACGGUCGCAGAUGAGUCGAGGGCGGAUUAGCUAGCUGGUGGGGUAAGGGGCUACCAAGGCGGCGAUCCGGAACUGGUCUGAGAGGGUGAUCAGGCACACUGGAACGUAGACGCGGGCCAGACUCCUGCGGGAGGCAGCAGUAGGGAAUGUUGGGCAAUGGGCGAAAGCCUGGUCCAGCCAGGCCGCGUGUGUGAAGAAGGUCUUCGGAGUGUAAAGCACUUUAAGUUGGGAUGAAGAGCAGUAGGUUAAGACCUAGCUGUUUUGACGGUACCAACUAAAGAAGCACCGGCUAACUUCGUG